AUCUCUUUCUGGAGAUUGUUCUUCUUGGAGUUUUUCCUGUAAGCCUUCAACACAGUUGUUAAAUGCUUUGUCGAUAUUUUUGGCAGCAUACAUGGUCUAUGCUCACUCUUCUGUAGCAAAGAAAUUCUUGAUACAGUAAGAAUUUUUUUUGUGAUUUGUCAAGUUCUUGACUUGAAAGACAUGUCAUCCCUGUGGUCUGAACUAAUGACAUUAUCUCCCAGGAGAUCAUUAUCUGAUGAUUGCAUCCCAUCAUGGAUUGUUCUCAGUGACCUGAGAGCUGCUGGAAAAUAUUUUUGUAACACCUGCCACAUCCGCAUCUCCUGUUGGACAUUCGUUUCCCCCUUUGGCUUGAUGCCCUGCUAUGUUUUCUGCAGUCUGUUCUCCUCUGUUACAAAGACAGUUUGGUUUCCUGGAUUAUAGCUGCCUGGGGCUACUUUCUAUCAAUAUUGUCUCAUCUCUUCUGUAUCAGUAUUAUACGAUGUGGUCUUAGAUGCUGCUAGCCUAUGAAUUACAUUGUUGAUUCUUGAUGGUUUCUAGCACUUUGAAUUGAGUUAUAGCUUUUACAAACGUGAUCUUGCUCUGAGAGAGAACUCUGACAACUUGACAGUCACAGACUCCAGGAAUGACUUGUCUUAUAUUAAUUCAUGUUAUAAAGCCCACUCUUUUGAUGUUAAGUGAGAAUAUGAGCUACUGUAUUAACAUCCUCUACUGGUACUUCUUGGAUACAUCUGUCAGUAUUUUGCCAAAGGGCCUUGCUCUUAGGCACUUCUCCUUCCCACUUAAGUUUUGUCAUUUCUGUUUUUCCCUUGUGGUUUUCUGACAUCGCUAUGGGAACUGCCUAUUCAAAUUUUACUCUGUUCUACAAGUUGUUUUGUUUGUUUCAAAAUACAGCUGAGAUGAAAAUUGCAGUUAUUAAAAAAGAAU
ensembl:lncRNA